rnacentral:rRNA from 1 species
UACGUAGGGGGCAAGCGUUGUCCGGAUUUAUUGGGCGUAAAGAGCGUGUAGGCGGCCAGGUAGGUCGGUUGUGAAAACUGGAGGCUCAACCUUCAGAGGUCGACCGAAACCAUCUGGCUAGAGUCCGGGAGAGGAGAGUGGAAUUCCUGGUGUAGCGGUGAAAUGCGCAGAUAUCAGGAAGAACACCCGUGGCGAAGGCGGCCAGCUGGGCCGUCCCUGACGCUGAGGCGCGAAGGCGUGGGGAGCGAACGGG